GACGAACGCUGGCGGCGUGCUUAACACAUGCAAGUCGAACGGAAAGGCCCUGCUUUUGUGGGGUGCUCGAGUGGCGAACGGGUGAGUAACACGUGAGUAACCUGCCCUUGACUUUGGGAUAACUUCAGGAAACUGGGGCUAAUACCGGAUAGGAGCUCCUGCUGCAUGGUGGGGGUUGGAAAGUUUCGGCGGUUGGGGAUGGACUCGCGGCUUAUCAGCUUGUUGGUGGGGUAGUGGCUUACCAAGGCUUUGACGGGUAGCCGGCCUGAGAGGGUGACCGGCCACAUUGGGACUGAGAUACGGCCCAGACUCCUACGGGAGGCAGCAGUGGGGAAUAUUGCACAAUGGGCGGAAGCCUGAUGCAGCAACGCCGCGUGCGGGAUGACAGCCUUCGGGUUGUAAACCGCUUUCGCCUGUGACGAAGCGUGAGUGACGGUAAUGGGUAAAGAAGCACCGGCUAACUACGUGCCAGCAGCCGCGGUGAUACGUAGGGUGCGAGCGUUGUCCGGAUUUAUUGGGCGUAAGGGGCUCGUAGGUGGUUGAUCGCGUCGGAAGUGUAAUCUUGGGGCUUAACCCUGAGCGUGCUUUCGAUACGGGUUGACUUGAGGAAGGUAGGGGAGAAUGGAAUUCCUGGUGGAGCGGUGGAAUGCGCAGAUAUCAGGAGGAACACCAGUGGCGAAGGCGGUUCUCUGGGCCUUUCCUGACGCUGAGGAGCGAAAGCGUGGGGAGCGAACAGGCUUAGAUACCCUGGUAGUCCACGCUGUAAACGGUGGGUACUAGGUGUGGGGUCCAUUCCACGGGUUCCGUGCCGUAGCUAACGCUUUAAGUACCCCGCCUGGGGAGUACGGCCGCAAGGCUAAAACUCAAAGGAAUUGACGGGGCCCCGCACAAGCGGCGGAGCAUGCGGAUUAAUUCGAUGCAACGCGUAGAACCUUACCUGGGUUUGACAUGGAUCGGGAGUGCUCAGAGAUGGGUGUGCCUCUUUCGGGGUCGGUUCACAGGUGGUGCAUGGCUGUCGUCAGCUCGUGUCGUGAGAUGUUGGGUUAAGUCCCGCAACGAGCGCAACCCUUGUUCACUGUUGCCAGCACGUUAUGGUGGGGACUCAGUGGAGACCGCCGGGGUCAACUCGGAGGAAGGUGGGGAUGACGUCAAGUCAUCAUGCCCCUUAUGUCCAGGGCUUCACGCAUGCUACAAUGGCUGGUACAGAGAGUGGCGAGCCUGUGAGGGUGAGCGAAUCUCGGAAAGCCGGUCUCAGUUCGGAUUGGGGUCUGCAACUCGACCUCAUGAAGUCGGAGUCGCUAGUAAUCGCAGAUCAGCAACGCUGCGGUGAAUACGUUCCCGGGGCU
rnacentral:rRNA from 1 species